AUACGGAGGGUGCAAGCGUUACUCGGAAUCACUGGGCGUAAAGCGCGCGCAGGCGGGCUGAUAAGUUGGAUGUGAAAGCCUACGGCUCAACCGUAGAACUGCAUCCAAAACUGUCAGUCUAGAGUCUGGGAGGGGAAGAUGGAAUUAGUUGUGUAGGGGUAAAAUCCGUAGAGAUAGCUAGGAAUACCAAAAGCGAAGGCGAUCUUCUGGAACAGUACUGACGCUGAGGCGCGAAAGCGUGGGGAGCAAACAGGAUUAGAAACCCUAGUAGUCC
rnacentral:rRNA from 1 species